UUGGAGGGCAAGUCUGGUGCCAGCAGCCGCGGUAAUUCCAGCUCCAAUAGCGUAUAUUAAAGUUGCUGCAGUUAAAAAGCUCGUAGUUGAAUUUCGAGACCGAUGUAUCGGUCGUGCCUCGGUACGUACUGGUAUCUUCGGUUUCUCCCUUCUGACGAACCUUGAUGUCAUUAAUUUGGUGUCUUGGGGAAUCAGGACUGUUACUUUGAAAAAAUUAGAGUGUUUAAAGCAGGCUCACGCUUGAAUACAUUAGCAUGGAAUAAUGAAAUAGGACGUUUGAUUCUAUUUUGUUGGUUUCUAGGAUCGACGUAAUGAUUAAUAGGGAUAGUUGGGGGCAUUAGUAUUCAAUUGUCAGAGGUGAAAUUCUUGGAUUUAUUGAAGACUAACUACUGCGAAAGCAUUUGCCAAGGAUGUUUUCAUUAAUCAAGAACGAAAGUUAGGGGAUCGAAGACGAUCAGAUACCGUCGUAGUCUUAACCAUAAACUAUGCCGACUAGGGAUCGGAUGAUGUUAAUUUUUUAAUGACUCAUUCGGCGCCUUACGGGAAAC
rnacentral:rRNA from 1 species